rnacentral:misc_RNA from 1 species
GCUAUUGAAGCUCCAUCUACAAAUGGAUAAGAUUUCGAUCUUUGUGUAUACGAGUUUUUGAAAAUAACGGAACAAUGCCGAUUCUCUUCCAAGAAGUUGGUAUUGCUCCGUUAUUUAUUAGGUUUUUUUUUUCAAUUUUUUUAUUUAUAUUUAGUUCCUUGUUUUACUUCAACAAAACAAAAAGUAUUUUUAUGGUUUUUGAUUUAGUAUCCUAUUAUUAUUAAUUAUGUGCUAAUAAUUAAAUUUCCCUUUAGUUAUUUUGGCUUUACAGUCAUAUUAUUGGUUUAGAGUCAAUUUAAUAUAAAAUAUAAAAAAGUAUGGAAUUUUCUGCCGAAUUAAGGUAAGAUAAAAAAAGAAUCAUCAAAAAAGAUGAUCAAUGGUAGGAAUUGCACUCUUUUUUUGGUAAUUUUGUAGAGAGUAGGGGGCGGAUGUAGCCAAGUGGAUCAAG